rnacentral:rRNA from 1 species
GUAGUCCACGCCCUAAACGAUGUCAACUAGUUGUUGGGACUUAUUAGUCUUAGUAACGGAGCUAACGCGUGAAGUUGACCGCCUGGGGAGUACGGUCGCAAGAUUAAAACUCAAAGGAAUUGACGGGGACCCGCACAAGCGGUGGAUGAUGUGGAUUAAUUCGAUGCAACGCGAAAAACCUUACCUACCCUUGACAUGGUCCGAACCUGCCAGAGAUGGUAGGGUGCCCGCAAGGGAACGGAUACACAGGUGCUGCAUGGCUGUCGUCAGCUCGUGUCGUGAGAUGUUGGGUUAAGUCCCGCAACGAGCGCAACCCUUGUCAGUAAUUGCCAUCAUUAAGUUGGGCACUUUACUGAGACUGCCGGUGACAAGCCGGA